ACAGUGGACGCGAGCAUCUUUGUGGCUCAAGUUUUUAAGGGCACACGGUGGAUGCCUUGGCACCAGGAACCGAAGAAGGACGUAGGAAUCUGCGAUAAGCCUCGGGGAGUCGAUAACCAGACUGUGAUCCGAGGAUUUCCGAAUGGGGAAACCCGGCUGGAGGCAAGUCCAGUCACUCCCGCCUGAACACAUAGGGCGGGUAGAGGGAACGUGGGGAAGUGAAACAUCUCAGUACCCACAGGAAGAGAAAGCAACCGCGAUUCCGUGAGUAGUGGCGAGCGAAAGCGGAAGAGGCUAAACCUCAGUUGUGUGAUACCUGUCAGGGGUUGCAGCUGGGGGGUCGUGGGACUUUUCGGUCAGUGCUGACACGCUGGCAUGGAGUCAGAAAUGCGCGUUGUAGUCGAAGGGCAUUGAAAGGCCCGGCACAGAGGGUGCUACCCCCGUAGACGAAACGAUGCGCACUCCAGAGAAGUAUCCCAAGUAGCACGGGGCCCGAGAAAUCCCGUGUGAAUCUGGCGGGACCACCCGCUAAGCCUAAAUAUUCCCUGGUGACCGAUAGCGGACAAGUACCGUGAGGGAAAGGUGAAAAGUACCCCGGGAGGGGAGUGAAAUAGAUCCUGAAACCGUGUGCCUACAAUCCGUCGGAGCCUCCUUGUGGGGUGACGGCGUGCCUUUUGAAGAAUGAGCCUGCGAGUUAGUGCUCAGUGGCGAGGUUAACCCGUGUGGGGAAGCCGUAGCGAAAGCGAGUCCGAAUAGGGCGUUUUAGUCGCUGGGUCUAGACCCGAAGCGGAGUGAUCUACCCAUGGCCAGGUUGAAGCGACGGUAAGACGUCGUGGAGGACCGAACCCACUUAGGUUGAAAACUGAGGGGAUGAGCUGUGGGUAGGGGUGAAAGGCCAAUCAAACUCCGUGAUAGCUGG
rnacentral:rRNA from 1 species